CCUACGGGAGGCAGCAGUGAGGAAUAUUGGUCAAUGGACGAGAGUCUGAACCAGCCAAGUAGCGUGAAGGAUGACUGCCCUAUGGGUUGUAAACUUCUUUUAUAUGGGAAUAAAACGUUCCACGUGUGGGAUUUUGUAUGUACCAUAUGAAUAAGGAUCGGCUAACUCCGUGCCAGCAGCCGCGGUAAUACGGAGGAUCCGAGCGUUAUCCGGAUUUAUUGGGGUUAAAGGGAGCGUAGGUGGAUUGUUAAGUCAGUUGUGAAAGUUUGCGGCUCAACCGUAAAAUUGCAGUUGAAACUGGCAGUCUUGAGGACAGUAGAGGUGGGCGGAAGUCGUGGUGUAGCGGUGAAAUGCUUAGAUAUCACGAAGAACUCCGAUUGCGAAGGCAGUUCACUGGACUGCAACUGACACUGAGGCUCGAAAGUGUGGGUAUCAAACAGGAUUAGAUACCCCAGUAGUC
rnacentral:rRNA from 1 species